rnacentral:miRNA from 1 species
CUCCCUAAUGGAGUCAGGUUG